rnacentral:rRNA from 1 species
GUAGGUGGCAAGCGUUGUCCGGAAUUAUUGGGCGUAAAGCGCGCGCAGGCGGUUCUUUAAGUCUGAUGUGAAAGCCCACGGGCUCAACCGUGGAGGGUCAUUGGAAACUGGAGAACUUGAGUAAAGAAGAGGAAAGCGGAAUUCCACGUGUAGCGGUGAAAUGCGUAGAGAUGUGGAGGAACACCAGUGGCGAAGGCGGCUUUCUGGUCUGUAACUGACGCUGAGGCGCGAAAGCGUGGGGAGCAAACAGGAUUAGAUACCCUGGUAGUCCACGCCGUAAACGAUGAGUGCUAAGUGUUAGGGGGUUUCCGCCCCUUAGUGCUGCAGCUAACGCAUUAAGCACUCCGCCUGGGGAGUACGGCCGCAAAGGCUG